rnacentral:tRNA from 1 species
GCACUAGUAGCUCAGCGCCCAGAGCGU